GACGAACGCUGGCGGCGUGCUUAACACAUGCAAGUCGAACGGAAAGGCCCUGCUUUUGUGGGGUGCUCGAGUGGCGAACGGGUGAGUAACACGUGAGUAACCUGCCCUUGACUUUGGGAUAACUUCAGGAAACUGGGGCUAAUACCGGAUAGGAGCUCCUGCUGCAUGGUGGGGGUUGGAAAGUUUCGGCGGUUGGGGAUGGACUCGCGGCUUAUCAGCUUGUUGGUGGGGUAGUGGCUUACCAAGGCUUUGACGGGUAGCCGGCCUGAGAGGGUGACCGGCCACAUUGGGACUGAGAUAGGGCGCAGACGCCUACGGGAGGCAGCAGUGGGGAAUAUUGCACAAUGGGCGGAAGCCGGAUGCAGCAACGCCGCGUGCGGGAUGACGGCCUUCGGGUUGUAAACCGCUUUCGCCUGUGACGAAGCGUGAGUGACGGUAAUGGGUAAAGAAGCACCGGCUAACUACGUG
rnacentral:rRNA from 1 species